rnacentral:misc_RNA from 1 species
GGCAGCAUCUCCAGCUUUGGUCUUCUUGACACCACGGAUUUUCUUAGUCCGGUUCUUUCUUUCCUUCAUCUGCUUUCUUGACUUCUCAACCUUAGUAGCCAGCCCAUUCCUGAUGAGCCGGUACUUAGGCUCAUACUUCUUCGCACUCUCAACAUUAUCAUAGAUCAGCCCAAACCCUGUAGACUUGCCCCCUCCGAAGUGCGUGCGGAACUUGAACACGAAGAUCGCGUUCGCGUCCUUAACCUCAUAGAUAGAGGCCAGCUUCCCCUUCAGCUCCGCCUUCGAGACAUUCGCCCUACCGGGGUGCAACACGUCGAUGACAAAUUGCUUGCGAGAGAGGAGGCGGUUGGUCAUGAACUUCCGAGUUCGGAUCGUGAUCGGGGCCUGCUUCGUCUCCGCCAUAGUUGUAAGGGCUAGAUCGGGGACGACGACGGCGGCGGAGAGGAGCGGCUGAAGUGAGAGUUGCAAA